GUUUGGAAAGCUGGCAGUUCAUACGUAUUUUUAACAGCAUAGACAGAGAUGUAAGUGCUAGAUGCCGAGGAUGGCUUCAACAAACCCAAUAAGGCGUGCCAGGUUCCAAGGCUACCAUAAUACUGGCAAAGGCAGAAUAACACAGUAUAUUUACAAUACAUAUAACUCAACCUCAUGAGGUGAAACUUAAAUGAAUUCUUAAUUUGUAACAGCAGCUAUAUAUACAAUUGUGCACAGGAUUACAGGGAGGCAGCAGCGUUCGCUUUUGCUAAAAAGCCCGUCUUGCAUGAAGAAUGUGCAAUGCUCAAGUUUGGGGAUUUUUAUUUGUUUUUACUAGUCUGACAGAAUGUGCACAAAGGACACUGGAAAGACCCCUUUCCUCUCUGGCUGUCCUUCAAUGUGUCCGAUCCACCACUCUUGGUCCUCUUCCCCUG
rnacentral:lncRNA from 1 species